UCCUGUCUUAAGCAUUUAUGAACCGCCGCCAGUGUUUUCACCCUUCUCAUCUGCUGUACUCGCAGCAGAUCCAACACGGAAGACACCACAAGCAAGAAACCUCACAGCACGAACAGAGACACAAACUGACAAAUACACAGAUAAGAGUAUUGAGGGUGGAAGAGAGUGUCCUACAUUGACUCCCCCCACGACACUUCCUGGAGGACCUGAGACUCGAAACUCACAACCUUCGGGUUACAAGUCCGACUCUCUAUGUAUUUGGCCACGGCUGAUUGAGCGAGAGUGUGUGAGUGUAUAUGAGUAUAAAUGAGUGAGUGUGUGUGUGGUUGAGAGUGAGUGUGGGCUCCAGGCUGGUGAUUGGGCACUGCUCUGGGCCGCUCUACUCUGUCGGGUGAUUGGGUUAUAGAUGGGCGUCUGCAGCACAUGGUUCAGUCCCGUGAGUCCCGUGAGAGAAGAGAGAGAAGCAGAUGAACAGCUUAGAUGUGUGUUGGAUGUGCUGUGUUUUUCUUUCUGUAUUUUCUUUAGAAUGCUACUGUAUUUUCUACUGUAAAGCACUUUAGAUUAGCUUCUGUUGUGCUCUAAAAAUAAUCUCAUCUCAUAUCAUGUUUUCUAGGUUCGCAGAUGCAUUAGCUCUCUUUUAUUAAUUUGUUCAAAAACACAGACACACACACCUGCAGGAACUCACAUGCACACACACACACACACACACACACACACAAACACACACACACAUACACACACACUCACCUGCAUGCUGUAGACGUCAUUAUCAUAUUCACGUAACAAACACAAAACACUACAAACGAAACACACAUGAAACACUGCACACAUAACGCACAAGUAACUGCACAUGUAACACAAAACAAACCGAAAACACACGGAACACUGCACACAUAAUGCAUAUGUAAUACUGGACAUGUAACACACACUUAACACACAAAACACACAUGAAACACACAGAAAACACAACACACAUAAAACACAUGUAACACACAAAGCACUGCACACGAAACAUGGCACACAUGUAACACACACAAAGCACUGCUAAUCUUACUGACACGCUAUACUGAAAUGCUAUAAUGUUGUUGAUAGUAUUUGGAGAGUAUGCAGUGUGUUUUCAUUAUGUCACUGCGUCCACUGUCAAAACAUUACGUCAC
ensembl:lncRNA